UUUCUGAUGGUCCAAGGGUUAGGACUCAGUGCUUUCACUGCUGGGGCCCAGGUUCAAUCCCUGGUUGGGGAG
rnacentral:tRNA from 1 species